rnacentral:rRNA from 1 species
GACGAACGCUGGCGGCGUGCCUAAUACAUGCAAGUAGAACGCUGAAGAGAGGAGCUUGCUCUUCUUGGAUGAGUUGCGAACGGGUGAGUAACGCGUAGGUAACCUGCCUGGUAGCGGGGGAUAACUAUUGGAAACGAUAGCUAAUACCGCAUAAAAUGGAUUAUCGCAUGAUAAUUCAUUGAAAGGUGCAAAUGCAUCACUACCAGAUGGACCUGCGUUGUAUUAGCUAGUUGGUGGGGUAACGGCUCACCAAGGCGACGAUACAUAGCCGACCUGAGAGGGUGAUCGGCCACACUGGGACUGAGACACGGCCCAGACUCCUACGGGAGGCAGCAGUAGGGAAUCUUCGGCAAUGGACGGAAGUCUGACCGAGCAACGCCGCGUGAGUGAAGAAGGUUUUCGGAUCGUAAAGCUCUGUUGUAAGAGAAGAACGGGUGUGAGAGNGGAAAGUUCACACUGNGACGG